rnacentral:rRNA from 1 species
UACGAAGGGGGCUAGCGUUGCUCGGAAUCACUGGGCGUAAAGGGUGCGUAGGCGGGUCUUUAAGUCAGGGGUGAAAUCCUGGAGCUCAACUCCAGAACUGCCUUUGAUACUGAAGAUCUUGAGUUCGGGAGAGGUGAGUGGAACUGCGAGUGUAGAGGUGAAAUUCGUAGAUAUUCGGAAGAACACCAGUGGCGAAGGCGGCUCACUGGACCGGUAUUGAUGCUGAGGUGCGAAAGCGUGGGGAGCAAACAGG